rnacentral:rRNA from 1 species
AUUGAACGCUGGCGGCAGGCCUAACACAUGCAAGUCGAGCGGAUGAAGGGAGCUUGCUCCUGGAUUCAGCGGCGGACGGGUGAGUAAUGCCUAGGAAUCUGCCUGGUAGUGGGGGAUAACGUCCGGAAACGGGCGCUAAUACCGCAUACGUCCUGAGGGAGAAAGUGGGGGAUCUUCGGACCUCACGCUAUCAGAUGAGCCUAGGUCGGAUUAGCUUGUUGGUGGGGUAAAGGCCUACCAAGGCGACGAUCCGUAACUGGUCUGAGAGGAUGAUCAGUCACACUGGAACUGAGACACGGUCCAGACUCCUACGGGAGGCAGCAGUGGGGAAUAUUGGACAAUGGGCGAAAGCCUGAUCCAGCCAUGCCGCGUGUGUGAAGAAGGCCUUCGGAUUGUAAAGCACUUUAAGUUGGGAGGAAGGGCAGUAAGUUAAUACCUUGCUGUUUUGACGUUACCAACAGAAUAAGCACCGGCUAACUUCGUG